GCCGUCAUGGUGUAGCGGUUAACAUAGGGGCUUGUGGAGCCCUUGAGCUGGGUUCAAAUCCCAGUGACGGCC
rnacentral:tRNA from 1 species